GUAAUAUUUGUUAAGAAAUAUCUGCAGACUUUUAUCUCCCAUUUUGUUUUAGGACCUGGUGUUUGUAUUAGAACCUCUAAGCAAAGAUGAGAUACAGACUCUGUAGCUGUCAGGCACCAAAGAACCCUUCUCAAUGACAAUGUGUAUUUGUCUUCUGGGAACUGGAGUGUGUAGGACACGGAUAUGGGAACCUGGCUUUGGUUAAUUGAGGGCAGCUUCUUCCAGUCAGAAAAGCUGCACGACUGUUACUGUGAAUGUUGGGCUGAGCUUCGAGACAGUGAUCAGAUGUUUUCAACUAUUGAGAAUAGAAGAAAUAAAG
rnacentral:lncRNA from 1 species